rnacentral:rRNA from 1 species
UACGUAGGGGGCAAGCGUUGUCCGGAUUUAUUGGGCGUAAAGCGCUCGCAGGCGGUCCCGUGCGUCGUGCGUGAAAGGCCCCGGCUCAACCGGGGGCGGUCGUGCGAUACGGCGGGACUGGAGGCCAGUAGGGGGACGCGGAAUUCCGGGUGUAGUGGUGGGAAUGCGUAGAUAUCUGGAGGAACACCGGUGGCGAAGGCGGCAUCCUGGACCAACACUGACGCUGAUGCGCGAAAGCCAGGGGAGCAAACGGG